rnacentral:rRNA from 1 species
UACGGAGGGUGCAAGCGUUAUCCGGAUUUACUGGGUUUAAAGGGUGUGUAGGCGGGCUUUUAAGUCAGUGGUGAAAUCUCCGGGCUCAACCUGGAAACUGCCAUUGAUACUAUUAGUCUUGAAUUUUGUUGAGGUAGGCGGAAUAAGUCAUGUAGCGGUGAAAUGCUUAGAUAUGACUUAGAACACCAAUUGCGAAGGCAGCUUGCUAAACAAAUAUUGACGCUGAGGCACGAAAGCGUGGGGAUCAAACAGG